UACGGAGGGUGCAAGCGUUAUCCGGAUUUACUGGGUUUAAAGGGUGCGUAGGCGGGCAUGUAAGUCAGUGGUGAAAUACCGGAGCUUAACUUCGGAACUGCCAUUGAUACUAUAUGUCUUGAAUAUUGUGGAGGUAAGCGGAAUAUGUCAUGUAGCGGUGAAAUGCAUAGAUAUGACAUAGAACACCGAUUGCGGAGGCAGCUUGCUACACAAAUAUUGACGCUGAGGAACGAAAGCGUGGGGAUCAAACAGG
rnacentral:rRNA from 1 species